rnacentral:lncRNA from 1 species
AGCACCUACUGUAUCUGUCCAAUAGAACAAGAGGCCCAGGCCAGUGAUCCAGGCUCUUCCUCAGGCUCCAGUGGUAGGACAUGGAAAGAUCUGUCAGCACUGCGGUAGGGAUCACGGGGAUCAACCUUGCUACCAUCUCAACAACACCUAUCGCAUAUGUGGUAGUGCUCAACAUUAUGCGAGAGAGUGCCUAAGGAACCAGAAUCAGGGCAGACCUCCUAUCUAGGGCAGGACUUACAAUCUCACCCAGUAGGAUAUUGAAGCCAACCCGAACGUAGUACAGGGUAUGUACACUAUCUGUAACUAUCUUGCUC